rnacentral:rRNA from 1 species
AUUGAACGCUGGCGGCAGGCCUAACACAUGCAAGUCGAGCGGAUGAAGGGAGCUUGCUCCUGGAUUCAGCGGCGGACGGGUGAGUAAUGCCUAGGAAUCUGCCUGGUAGUGGGGGAUAACGUCCGGAAACGGGCGCUAAUACCGCAUACGUCCUGAGGGUGAAAGUGGGGGAUCUUCGGACCUCACGCUAUCAGAUGAGCCUAGGUCGGAUUAGCUAGUUGGUGGGGUAAAGGCCUACCAAGGCGACGAUCCGUAACUGGUCUGAGAGGAUGAUCAGCCACACUGGAACUGAGACACGGUCCAGACUCCUACGGGAGGCAGCAGUGGGGAAUAUUGGACAAUGGGCGAAAGCCUGAUCCAGCCAUGCCGCGUGUGUGAAGAAGGUCUUCGGAUUGUAAAGCACUUUAAGUUGGGAGGAAGGGCAGUAAGUUAAUACCUUGCUGUUUUGACGUUACCAACAGAAUAAGCACCGGCUAACUUCGUG